UUCACAAAAUGCCACAGUUCAGGGUGUGCCUGGUAUGUACAGUCAAGUCACUGGUACCUGAAAAGAUUUAGUGAAGCACCAAAGUUUGAAACAAAAUAGCUGAGUAUACACUGAAGCCCUCCUUUUAAGUCCUCUGGGAAAUCCAAUUACUCUUUUAACAGUCAUUAUACAUGCCUAAAUAUCUGUCCUGUUACAUGUAUUACAUAUGCACACCAUCUGCCUGCAAGUGAACAUCUGUGAGCCAGGUUCUGGCCUGCUGGUAAAACACACUGUGAAAAAUCAGGGUGGACUUUUCUGCAUUAUGAGAUGUAUAUCAACCAGUUCAUCCUCACUGCUGCUUGGUUUAAGGCUGCCUAAAUUGCAUGUAGAGGCAUCAACAGCACCAGGACUGGUACAAAGCACUUACAUUGGUGAUUGCUCUGUUUUGACACCAGAAAGGGGAAAAAAGGACAACCAGAAAACAUUAGAGUGACCUCUACAAUAUUCAAGGCUCUAGAAGGCAUUUUAAAGAAAACGUGUAUGCAGAAGGCUGACUGACAAGCCUAGUGGUAUCCAGGCUAAAACCUGCUAGAUUUGGGAGCUUACUAAAGUAAAAUGGUGGUGUAACUAAGGCAUCCCUGCAGCUGCCAGAGCACUACAGAGUGGACUAUUCUUUGGUUUUCAGGGCUUUUUAUGAAGGCCCACGAAGGUGACCUUCUAAAGAGACAAAAGAUUUCUUCUGAAGGGAUAAUUAUUCCAUUUCUUAGACAGAGGAAUAUAAGGAAACAAUCAGACUUGGAUGACACACUGAUCCUUAUUUCCUACAGACUGAUGGAGCAUCUUCCACAGAAGGCUUUUAACAUAGAUCUAUUUGUUCUAGAUAGGGAUUUUUAAACACUUUGUCACUUAUUUGGGGAAAUGGUCUGUGUGUGUUUAUGUCUGUCUCAUUCUCUUCUCAAUACAUUUUAUUUCCUCCUUAUAUGGAAGACAUUAAUGCAAAGAACUGUUCUGUGUUUUGUUUCCUUGCUAGGGUUCAUGUCUCUCCUGGUACUUCUGGUACUCAUGAAAUAACCACAUCACAGACUUUCCAGUUUAAUCACUAUUGCUUUUCUCUUAAAUAAAGAUCUUGUUACAGUAACAUACAGCCAUUGUACUAAUAAAGUUUCUGUUGUUAAUAUUUAAGAA